AGUGAACGCUGGCGGUAGGCCUAACACAUGCAAGUCGAACGGCAGCACAGUAAGAGCUUGCUCUUACGGGUGGCGAGUGGCGGACGGGUGAGGAAUACAUCGGAAUCUACUUUUUCGUGGGGGAUAACGUAGGGAAACUUACGCUAAUGCCGCAUACGACCUACGGGUGAAAGCAGGGGAUCUUCGGACCUUGCGCGAUUGAAUGAGCCGAUGUCGGAUUAGCUAGUUGGCGGGGUAAAGGCCCACCAAGGCGACGAUCCGUAGCUGGUCUGAGAGGAUGAUCAGCCACACUGGAACUGAGACACGGUCCAGACUCCUACGGGAGGCAGCAGUGGGGAAUAUUGGACAAUGGGCGAAAGCCUGAUCCAGCCAUACCGCGUGGGUGAAGAAGGCCUUCGGGUUGUAAAGCCCUUUUGUUGGGAAAGAAAAGCAGCAGGUUAAUACCCCGCUGUUCUGACGGUACCCAAAGAAUAAGCACCGGCUAACUUCGUG
rnacentral:rRNA from 1 species